CCUGACAGCAUGCCGCGUGCAGGAUGACGGUCCUAUGGAUUGUAAACUGCUUUUAUACGAGAAGAAACACUCCUACGUGUAGGAGCUUGACGGUAUCGUAAGAAUAAGGAUCGGCUAACUCCGUGCCAGCAGCCGCGGUAAUACGGAGGAUCCAAGCGUUAUCCGGAAUCAUUGGGUUUAAAGGGUCCGUAGGCGGUUUAAUAAGUCAGUGGUGAAAGCCCAUCGCUCAACGGUGGAACGGCCAUUGAUACUGUUAAACUUGAAUUAUUAGGAAGUAACUAGAAUAUGUAGUGUAGCGGUGAAAUGCUUAGAGAUUACAUGGAAUACCAAUUGCGAAGGCAGGUUACUACUAAUGGAUUGACGCUGAUGGACGAAAGCGUGGGUAGCGAACAGGAUUAGAUACCCUGGUAGUCCACGCCGUAAACGAUGGAUACUAGCUGUUGGAAGCAAUUUCAGUGGCUAAGCGAAAGUGAUAAGUAUCCCACCUGGGGAGUACGUUCGCAAGAAUGAAACUCAAGA
rnacentral:rRNA from 1 species